rnacentral:lncRNA from 1 species
UUUAGUUUUUGGGAUUUUUUGUUUUUUGUUUUUCUAUUUUUUGGAUGUUUGUCCCUCCUUCCUUCCUUCCUUCCUUCCUUUCUUUUUCUUUUUUCCUUCUUUCUUUCUUCCUUUUUGAAUCAGGGACUCCCUCAGUAUGUAGCCCAGGCUGCCCUUGGACUUGUGAACCUCCUACCUAAGUCUCCAGUUCUGGGUUAUAGUUGUGAACUGUCUCUGGUCCUAGUUCAGUGGGUAGCUUAGAAGUAGAAAGAGUGAAGUGACUUCAAGUGACAAGAAUAGAAAAUGGAGAGAAGUGUUUCUUUUUUUUAAGGUUUAUUUACAUAUUUUAUGUAUAUGAGUGCUCUGUCUUCAUGCACACCAGAAGAGAGCAUCAGAUUCCGCCACAGAUGGUUGUGAGCCACCAUGUGGGUGCUGGGAAUUGAACUCAGGACCUCUGCAAAAGUAGCCAGGGCUCUUAACCAUUGAGCCAUCUCUCCAGCCCCAGAGAGAAAAGUUCCUGAGAAUAUAAACAUCUUUUUUCUUUCUAUAAACUAGGUCUAGCUGAAUAUGACAGGGAGCAUAAUCUAUAUAAAAUACAGUGCUAUAACUGUUUUUGCAUAAACUCACGUUAUAGGUGAAUUUCAAAGUAACUUGGGAUGCAAAAUUCUCAGCUCUCCAGUAAUACCUCCACUCUCUCUAGGAAGUACUGUGGGACCCCCCCCAGGUGACGUUCAGAGUUUUGUAGAAGGAGGCUCCCUUGGGUUCUAUAGGAAAGAGUUAGCCAGGCAGUGGGGGGUACACACCUUUGAUCCCAGUACUUGAGAGGCAGGUGGAUCUCAGAGUUAGGGGCCAACCUGAUCUACAGAGCAAGUUCCAGGACUACUCGGGCUACACAGAGAAACCUUGUCUUACUGCCCCUUCCUUCUCCCCCACACAUACAUUCCCCCUCCCCCCACC